CACGUAGGGCGCAAGCGUUGUCCGGAAUUACUGGGCGUAAAGAGCUCGUAGGUGGUUUGUCGCGUUGUUCGUGAAAACUCACAGCUUAACUGUGGGCGUGCGGGCGAUACGGGCAGACUUGAGUACUGCAGGGGAGACUGGAAUUCCUGGUGUAGCGGUGGAAUGCGCAGAUAUCAGGAGGAACACCGGUGGCGAAGGCGGGUCUCUGGGCAGUAACUGACGCUGAGGAGCGAAAGCGUGGGGAGCGAACAGG
rnacentral:rRNA from 1 species